rnacentral:rRNA from 3 species
UCUGACCUCAAAUCAGGUAG